UACGGAGGGUGCGAGCGUUGUUCGGAAUCACUGGGCGUAAAGGGCGUGUAGGCGGUCCGCUAAGUCUGAUGUGAAAGCCCGGGGCUCACCCCCGGAAGGGCAUUGGAAACUGGCGGACUCGAGUCCCGGAGAGGAAGGUGGAAUUCCUGGUGUAGCGGUGAAAUGCGUAGAUAUCAGGGGGAAUACCGGUGGCGAAGGCGGCCUUCUGGACGGUGACUGACGCUGAGGAGCGAAAGCAUGGGGAGCGAACAGG
rnacentral:rRNA from 1 species